rnacentral:rRNA from 1 species
GACGUAGGAUGCAAGCGUUGUCCGGAUUUAUUGGGCGUAAAGAGUUCGUAGGCGGUUCGUUAAGUCUGAUGUUAAAGAUCGGGGCUCAACCUCGGGAGUGCAUUGGAUACUGGCGGACUGGAGUGUGGUAGAGGCUAGUGGAAUUCCCAGUGUAGCGGUGAAAUGCGUAGAUAUUGGGAAGAACACCGGUGGCGUAGGCGACUAGCUGGGCCAUAACUGACGCUGAGGAACGAAAGCCAGGGGAGCGAAUGGG